rnacentral:rRNA from 2 species
UCUUUUAGAUAUUGGGUAGGGGAGCGUUCUGUAAGCCGUUGAAGGUGAAUCGUAAGGUUUGCUGGAGGUAUCAGAAGUGCGAAUGCUGACAUGAGUAACGACAAAGGGGGUGAAAAACCUCCUCGCCGGAAGACCAAGGGUUCCUGUCCAACGUUAAUCGGGGCAGGGUGAGUCGACCCCUAAGGUGAGGCCGAAAGGCGUAAUCGAUGGGAAACGGGUUAAUAUUCCCGUACUUCUGACUAUUGCGAUGGGGGGACGGAGAAGGCUAGGUGGGCCAGGCGACGGUUGUCCUGGUUCAAGUGCGUAGGCUUGAGAGUUAGGUAAAUCCGGCUCUCUCUAAGGCUGAGACACGACGUCGAGCUACUACGGUAGUGAAGUCAUUGAUGCCAUGCUUCCAGGAAAAGCCUCUAAGCUUCAGAUAGUCAGGAAUCGUACCCCAAACCGACACAGGUGGUCGGGUAGAGAAUACCAAGGCGCUUGAGAGAACUCGGGUGAAGGAACUAGGCAAAAUGGUACCGUAACUUCGGGAGAAGGUACGCUCUUGAUGGUGAAGUCCCUCGCGGAUGGAGCUGACGAGAGUCGCAGAUACCAGGUGGCUGCAACUGUUUAUUAAAAACACAGCACUGUGCAAAAUCGCAAGAUGACGUAUACGGUGUGACGCCUGCCCGGUGCCGGAAGGUUAAUUGAUGGGGUUAGCGCAAGCGAAGCUCUUGAUCGAAGCCCCGGUAAACGGCGGCCGUAACUAUAACGGUCCUAAGGUAGCGAAAUUCCUUGUCGGGUAAGUUCCGACCUGCACGAAUGGCGUAAUGAUGGCCACGCUGUCUCCACCCGAGACUCAGUGAAAUUGAAAUCGCUGUGAAGAUGCAGUGUACCCGCGGCUAGACGGAAAGACCCCGUGAACCUUUACUACAGCUUGGCACUGAACAUUGAACCUACAUGUGUAGGAUAGGUGGGAGGCUAUGAAGACGUGACGCCAGUUGCGUUGGAGCCGUCCUUGAAAUACCACCCUUGUAUGU